rnacentral:pre_miRNA from 1 species
UAUAUUCAAUUGUAUGGAAUGGGAUCGUUUGCCUACGUUUGCCGCUAGGGGCGCUGUUCCAACUGCAUACAAAAUUGGGUUG